rnacentral:rRNA from 1 species
AAUGGGCGAAAGCCUGACGCAGCAACGCCGCGUGGGGGACGAAGGCUCUCGGGUUGUAAACCCCUUUCAGCAGGAACGAAAUUGACGGUACCUGCAGAAGAAGCCCCGGCCAACUACGUGCCAGCAGCCGCGGUAAUAAGUAGGGGGCGAGCGUUGUCCGGAUUCAUUGGGCGUAAAGAGCUCGUAGGCGGUUUCGUAAGUCGGGUGUGAAAACCCCAGGCUCAACCUGGGGACGCCACCUGAUACUGCGAGGACUUGAGUCUGGUAGGGGACCACGGAAUUCCUGGUGUAGCGGUGAAAUGCGCAGAUAUCAGGAGGAACACCGGUGGCGAAGGCGGUGGUCUGGGCCAGUACUGACGCUGAGGAGCGAAAGCGUGGGUAGCAAA